GGACGUGUGCCUGAAUAAAGGAUUACUUUGAUAGAGUAAAAUAUAGGACCUAAAACCUCCUCACCUCCU
rnacentral:tRNA from 1 species